AUUCAACUUUCGGCAGCUCCCUGUUCCCCAUUCGCGCAUGCGCAUUGAGACUUUCGUUUUCACUUCGGAUUUUGAAAAGGAGAAAACACUUCGCACGCAGGAUUGUGUUGCUGUGUUUGGACAGAAAAGAGAUAUAAAAGGACUUCAUGGAAUUCACCAACAUCAAGCCAUUGAAGAUCCUGAAGCAUUCAAGUACAAGAUGACAAAGCUUAGAAAAUUGUGUUGUCUUUUUCACCAUUGGCCUGCCUUGCAGAGUUACUUCAGUUCCCAUGACGAUGUUGAGAAACCAGACAGAUGAAGUGAUGUACAUCAUAUACAUGACAACAACCAUGAACAUGUAUAAGUGAAUCCGCUUCCAAAGUUUCAUUAUUCAUCCACUGAAUGAUUUUUCAAGGCUGAUGAAGUUAAGAUUGGGUACUUGAGGGACAUCAAAGAUGCUUGCCAAAUUUCUUUUCAAGGAUAUGGUGGUAUCCAAACUUGGCUUUCUAAAUCCAGCAAAUGGAGGAGAUCUACCACGAACUGCCCUUACUGUGCUAGCACAGAGAUUCACUUCCUUGGUGCCCACGAAUCAGUGGGAACAAAGGGAAAAGGAAUUCAUGGAUUACCAAACAACUCCUGCUCUGUACCUCCCAAGUUUUGUGGAAAACACAAGAAAAGAUUCUACUGAAUAGGAUAAGAUUCUGGACCAAAAAAUACAUCACCAAGACACCAAUGUAUCCAGUGAUGAUUGAUUGAUCUUAUGUUGUUUAACAUCCCUCUAAAAAAUGUAUCACUCAUAUGGAGACGUCACCACUUGCCAGUGGAGGGCUACAAAUUUUGUCCGAUACUCGACAUUCGGAGCUAUUGAACAAGGAGGGAUCUUUUUUUGUGCCAGCAUCUACUGCACCUUCAGUUAGUACGGUCUCUUCCAAAGGACCGGUCUCCUCAUUCUAUUGUGGGAUUGUAACCCAUUACAUAAGGAUCAAUUCCAAAAUUCGUGACUCGAGAGCAGUUUCCAGUGAUAGUCAAAGCCAUGCCUUAAUAUUGUGCCUAACUCCAAUGCUGGAUGUGAAUGAGUCUUCUCUAUGGGGAAGAAAAUACAGACAGAGACCCCUGCUAAUUUGGACAAUGAAACAAUCAGUGCCCUACUUACGACCAAAUUUAAAACAACAGUGUAAUCUCGUUAAACAUGAAAGGACUUUUUCCAGUCUGGUGUACAUAAAAAGGCUUGUGUUUCAUAUAACAAGGACUUUAGUGAUUAACUCUUUGGCUGUUUGUGUCUUGACUGUUGACUGAAAAUGUUCUUAAACUUAAUUUUUAACAGAUGUAGAGGAAGGGACUGGACUUCUCUCCUCCUUUUUUUCCAAGGGAGAGAGAGAGGGGGGAGAUGUUUUUCUGUGAUAGGUAUUUCUGUGUUUAAUAUGUUAAAAUAAAGUAUCCCAAUCUGUGCCUUUUCUGCUCUCAAGAAAGAGUAUUGCGUAUUGCUUUGUUUAUACAAUGAAGAUAUCCGUUAUACCACCAUUGACUUGGUUACGGGCUCCGACCACCCACACAAUGUCACUUGAAACUUAAAAGGAUGUCACAUAGGAUUUUUAUUUACAUGUUUAAGUUCUUAAUUGAAAUAAAAUUAAUGAUCCUCUUAAUUACCAUACUAGUUACAUGCAAGGUUUCAAAAAUGGAAGAUUCUGGCGAAACUUUGGCGAUGACAUUUUUGGACUAUCUUCUAAAGUAACUUCCUUACAGGAAUAUGCAAGAAAAGGUUAUAAUAAGGAGAAUGCUAAAGAUAAAUAUUUUCUCCAUAUAGUAUGAAAUUAUUUUAGUCAAUGGAGCAAGUUAUAAAACACACCCAUAACACGCGGAAGGGGGAGAGGCUUACUUUUCUGAGAGUAAUCUUAUCCUGAAUGUACUUUUAAGGUCAAGAUCUAGUAAAUGAAAGAUGCCUACAGAUUUAUUUUGAGAAAUUAAUUUCUGUAAUAAUGCUUUAUAACUUUAGCUUGCUCAAAUAAGGUGUUUUGGGGCAUAUUUAAUUUGUAAGAAAACAAGUUGAAAAUCAUAUUUUUAACUAUCAUUUUCAUAGAGAAAUUAUGUAUGUUGUGUGUUCUA